GAUGAACGCUGGCGGCGUGCUUAACACAUGCAAGUCGAACGAUGAAAGCGGGAGCUUGCUCCUGCUGGAUUAGUGGCGAACGGGUGAGUAACACGUGAGUAACCUGCCCUUGACUCUGGGAUAAGCGUUGGAAACGACGUCUAAUACCGGAUACGACCUUCGGAGGCAUCUCCUGGGGUGGAAAGAAUUUCGGUCAAGGAUGGCCUCGCGGCCUAUCAGCUAGUUGGUGAGGUAAUGGCUCACCAAGGCGACGACGGGUAGCCGGCCUGAGAGGGUGACCGGCCACACUGGGACUGAGACACGGCCCAGACUCCUACGGGAGGCAGCAGUGGGGAAUAUUGCACAAUGGGCGCAAGCCUGAUGCAGCAACGCCGCGUGAGGAACGACGGCC
rnacentral:rRNA from 1 species